GUAAGAACCAGAACGCCAGCUGCCCCAGCGGCGCUCGCACCAUCCACCCUUGAAAUUGCCGUAGAAGGCAAGACUAUACAGUGCCCAGAGAAAGCAGGCUCUGGCCAGGCGUGGUGGCUCACACCUGUAAUCUCAGAACACUGGGAGGCCAAGGCGGGAAGAUCCCUUGAGACCAGGAGUUUGAGACCAGCGUGAAUAAGAUGGGUGAAAAUGCUGUGAUACCUUUCCUCAGCCCUCAAAAGGGUCAUGGCUGCCGGGAGUGGUGGCUCAUGCCUAUAAUCCCAGCACUUUGGGAGGCCGAGGUGGGCAGAUCACCUGAGGUCAGGAGUUUGAGACCAGCCUGGCUAACAUGGCGAAACCCUUUCUCUACUAAAAAUACAAAAAUUAGCCAGUCGUGGUGGCGGGCGCCUGUAAUCCCAGCUACUUGGGAAACUGAGGCAGGAGAAUCGCUUGAACCUGGGAGGUUGGAGGUUGCAGUGAGCCGAGAUUGGGCCACUGCACUGCAGCCUGGCCAAUGGAGCAUUUCAAAAAAAAAGAAAGAAAGAAAGAAAAAGGAGGGGGGUUGUCAUGGUUGACACUCCUAUAAUGAAAGACAGGUUAACAAGACAAAAGCACGGCAAAUUUAUUCAGUCAGAAUUUUGCGUGACACGGAAGCAUUCACAAUGAAGACUCAAAGACCCAAGGGAAAACUGUCCAUUUUUAUGCUUAGAUUCAAUGAGGAGUGGACAACCAUGUAAAAAUGGGAUUGGACAAAAAGGAAAUAAUCUAAUGUAAUAGAUUGAAGGGGAACAACCCAGCAAGGCCUGACUAUUUGGAUUCUUCUUGGCCUCUCUGUGUGGCAUUCCUUCCUCCCUGGUAUAGAGCAGGACCCCUUCUGGAAUAAGGGUUUUAUGAUCUACUAUCAGACAAGGUAGACCAGAGAAUUUCUUUAUGGCCAGCUCAUAUGCAGAAAGGCAAUGGAAGUUGAGAGAAAUAUGUUUAGUUUCUAUGACCCACUGUGGGGCAGAGGAAUUCUGAUUUCUAUGGCCUGCCUUAGGGUAGAAGGGGGACCAGGAGACAGGAGGGCAGGAGAAGCCCAGAGAGAGACUUUGUUUCUAGGGUCCUUCCAGUAUCCUUCGGCUCAAAGUACUCAGCAUAUCAAAGCACCUUACUUUGGGGCAUUGUUUUUCUGAGCUCCAAUGCUGUAAAAGACACAAUGGUUUUUAUUUUCCAAAAAUUGCUAGAUGCAGCUUUUUGCAUUUGCCACAAUCUUAUUACCACCUGUAAGUAAGCACCACUAGCUGAUAGUUUUUAUUCAUAAAACAUCAUCAUUGUAUCCUAAGAGAAUGAGAUUGGUAUUGGUCUUUAGAUUUUACUUCUAUAAGCAGAUCAGCUACAUGGAUGAAAGACUGAUAUAAAAUGGAAAGCUGAAUUUCCAGAAUUUUAGGGAUAUUUGCACUCAAAGAAUCUAAUAACAGAAUAUUUAGAUCUGCUUAUUAAUCUAUCAUUUUAAUUACAUUUUAAUUUAUGAAUUUAAAGUUACAAUGAGUAAAAAAUCCUUUUAGGUUUUUAUUAAUCAGUAACACCUGAACAGUUUUUGUAAAUUGCUUUAGAGUAGAUUUACUCCAGACGAGGCAGCUGAGUCCGGAAUACCUUUCCCCUAAGGAAAGCAACCUUGUUGCCAUGCAGCCUUCAAUUUGCCUUUGUAGUCAUAGACCAUGUAUGAAAUAUCAAUCCUUUCUAAAUGAAGUGACUGCCAAUCAAAUCUUUCUUUUAAACUUCCCACUAGAGCAAUAUUAAGAAUACACAGGGAAGUUAUGAAGUUGUGAUUAUGCCGAAUAAACACAAAUUCCUGGCCCUUCUUAACCAUGAAUUAUUUCUAAACAUUAUUAACCCAUUAUUUUUUAGAACACAUCCGUGAAAAGUGAAAACAAUGGAUAGAAAAACCAAAACUCUGACCACAUAUGUGGUCAGUUCUGUAGCCUACACUUUUCCUUUUUGAAGUGUUUUUAUUUGCCAAAGGAAGACAGCAAAGGAAAGAACCUCUUAGUGGCAAGUAGGUGUCACUGUGUACUUGUCAGCCACUGAGAGUGCACCAGUCUUGUCAGCUCCCUGGGCCGCUUGGGGAUGCAGAAGAUUCAGUUGCUUGUAGCAUAGGUGCUUUCCCCCAGGCCUAAAUAGGACUUAUUUAGAAUGUAUAAAUAAUGUUCCUUGCAUUUCCUAAUGUUUAUUUCCCUUGCCUCAUUAUCCAAAAUACUGUGAAUUUUUAGCUGAGGAAGCUGACUUCUUAUGGUGUAUCCUGGAUUUUCUUCCCUGGAAAGCCUGUGAAUUUCAAAGGAAACAAAGUUUAGGUCUCAGGCUUCCCCUUAUUUAUCUUGAGAAUGAAGGGUUUUGAAGAGGUGGCCUUUGCAAUUCAUCUCUAUGAUCCUUUUCUUUUGUUUCAAACCUACAUACUUCAGGUGCUCCAAUGUUGUUUUCUUAUAAAGUGCUUUCUUUCCUAGUUGUUGAUUAAAGUUUUUUCCAGUAUAUCUCAUUUUACAAACCUCCCCCUCUUUCUGAGUCAUUUAUCUCAUUUCCUAGGCUGAUUGUAUGAUUUCACUUAGUGAAACAGCUUCCUGUGUGCACAAGGAGUCUGUGACUAUACAGAUGUCAAUCAGUUUUUAAUUAUGUGGAGGCUGAUUAUUGUGUUUCAUAGCUUAUUUGUAAUUCUUUUCUUUUUUCUUUGCUUGCCCUUAAAGAGAGAAUGGGCAGCGUAUAGUCCAUUUUAUUGUUUGUUACUUGUUCUGGAAAAAUGUCAUAGAGAAGAAGAUAGAGGAGAUAUUUAUAAAAUAUUUAUGUUUAUAAAGUUGAAUCUGAGAAUGGAAAGAUUGUGGAUUGACUAUCUCUUUUCUAGCUCAAGAUCUAGAACUGAUGAUGUCCUUUGAUUGUUACAGUUACAGACAAGUUUUAAAGACAGCUUCAAAAUUACCUUCCCCAAAUAAUAACAUUGGGACAGGUUUGUGCUUCCUAGUUUGAUAUUGCUUCAGAGAAAGUUAGUGAGGAAAUGUUAAUACAAGGAAGUAAAGUAAAAGAAAACAAAAACCAAACACUACUAGUAUGUUUAGUAAUUAUUAUUCUGAGUAUGAGUCUUGGGACUUUUGGCCUGAUUACCUGGAGACAAAUUCCCUAAGGGAUCAUCACCCCACCUGAAAAAUGGGCUAACAUGAUUUCUUAGUUUUAGAGUUCUGUGAGUUGGAGAUUAGUUCAUCAAGCACACUUGCAAAGAACUCUAUAGGGGUAGUCAGGAGACAGCCUCCAGCUCCAUCUCUGUCACUCCAUAGUUGUAUAUGGCUUUGGCCAGUCACUUUAUCUCUCUGUGAAUUUCCUUAUGUAUGAAGUGAGCUUCACCAGCUUCUCUCUGUGCCUCUUCCAGCUCCUUGUUAGCUGUCCGUACUUUUGUUAAGAUGGCCUCAGGAGAACAGGGUAGGUGAUGGUGAAGCAUAGACUUGAAGUCAGAUGUUUGUAAUUGGGGUUCCAUGGGUGAGCUUCAGAGGGACAUGAAUCCCUUGAAGUUUUAUGCAAAUGUGUGUAUGCAUGUGCAUUUUUAUGAAUAGAAGAUUUUUUCCCAUCAGAUUCUCAGUGGCAUCUGUGACUCCCUAUCCCUCUUUCACAAGGUUAAGAACUACUGUAUUGUAGGAGAGGGAGAUAAAUGAAGGCUGGAGGGAGUAACUGGUGAAGGCUUUAUGAAAGAGGAAGUUCCUGAGUUGGCUUUGGAGCCUGAGUUUUAAUAGAUAGGAGAAGGAAAGGAGCAUUCCAGUAGAUGGUAACAAUAUGAAUAAAGGGAUGUAGCUAAUUCUUAUGGCAAGUAUAAUAUGUCAGUCACUGAUUGUCUUUAUAAAUCCCACAACAGGCCUAAGAGGUAGAUGUUAUCAAUAUCCUCAUCUUAUAGAUGAGAAGACUGAGGGUCAUAAAGAUUAAGUUAUUAAGUUACUAUGCAGUUAAUAGUUUGUAGAAUCAGGAUUUGAACCUUUGCAGUCCGAUCUCAGAGUCCAUGCACAUAAACACUACAUCAUAAAGCUUCUUCUUUCUGGUUCACUAGCAAUUUGAUUUGCCUAGAAUAGAUGAUUUGUAUUGGGGACAGGUAAGAAAUAGGCUUGGCAAAUGGUCAGGAUGGUGCCAACUGUGGUGCAACUUUAGGAUCAAGAAGAAGAAUUUCAAUUUGAUGCUAUAGGCAAUAGGGAGUCAUGGAAGGUUUUAGACCAGUGAAGACAUAACCACAAUGGUAUUUUCUUAACUUUAUUAUUUAAAUCUUCCAUGUUCUUACUAAUUUUGUGUUUUCUUGAUCUAUCAGUUACUGAAAGAUGUGUUGAAACUUUCUACUUUGAUUAUAAAUUCCCAUUCUGUAUUUGAUGCUCUAAUAUUAAAAGCAUAACAUUUUG
rnacentral:lncRNA from 1 species